GAAAUGCGAUAAGUAAUGUGAAUUGCAGAAUUCAGUGAAUCAUCGAAUCUUUGAACGCACAUUGCGCCCGCCAGUAUUCUGGCGGGCAUGCCUGUCCGAGCGUCAUUUCAACCAUCAAGCCCCCGGGCUUAUGUUGGGGACCUGCGGCUGCCCGCAGGCCCUGAAAACCAGUGGCGGGCUCGCUGUCACACCGAGCGUAGUAGCAAUCACCUCGCUCAGGGCGUGCUGCGGGUUCCGGCCGUUAAACAGCCUUACAAAACCCAAGGUUGACCUCGGAUCAGGUAGGAAGACCCGCUGAACUUAAGC
rnacentral:misc_RNA from 1 species